rnacentral:rRNA from 1 species
GAUGAACGCUGGCGGCGUGCCUAAUACAUGCAAGUCGAACGCUGGAAAUCUAGCUUGCUAGAUUGAAGGAGUGGCGAACGGGUGAGUAAUACAUAAGCAACCUACCCACGAAGACUGGGAUAAUCUCUGGAAACGGGGACUAAUACCGGAUAGGUAAUCGGAAGGCAUCUUCUGAUUAUUAAAGGUUAAAAACACUGGUGGAUGGGCUUAUGGCGCAUUAGUUAGUUGGUGAGGUAACGGCCCACCAAGACGAUGAUGCGUAGCCGGCCUGAGAGGGUGAACGGCCACAUUGGGACUGAGACACGGCCCAGACUCCUACGGGAGGCAGCAGUAGGGAAUUUUCAGCAAUGGGGGAAACCCUGACCGAGCAACGCCGCGUGAGUGAUGACGGCCUUCGGGUUGCAAAGCUCUGUUGUAAGGGAAGAACGGUAGAUAGAGAAUAUCUAAAUGACGGUACCUUACCAGAAAGCCACGGCUAACUACGUG